rnacentral:rRNA from 1 species
AGUGAACGCUGGCGGUAGGCCUAACACAUGCAAGUCGAACGGCAGCACAGUAAGAGCUUGCUCUUACGGGUGGCGAGUGGCGGACGGGUGAGGAAUACAUCGGAAUCUACUUUUUCGUGGGGGAUAACGUAGGGAAACUUACGCUAAUACCGCAUACGACCUACGGGUGAAAGCAGGGGAUCUUCGGACCUUGCGCGAUUGAAUGAGCCGAUGUCGGAUUAGCUAGUUGGCUGGGUAAAGGCCCACCAAGGCGACGAUCCGUAGCUGGUCUGAGAGGAUGAUCAGCCACACUGGAACUGAGACACGGUCCAGACUCCUACGGGAGGCAGCAGUGGGGAAUAUUGGACAAUGGGCGCAAGCCUGAUCCAGCUAUACCGCGUGGGUGAAGAAGGCCUUCGGGUUGUAAAGCCCUUUUGUUGGGAAAGAAAAGCAGCAGGUUAAUACCCCGCUGUUCUGACGGUACCCAAAGAAUAAGCACCGGCUAACUUCGUG